CACGCCGCGUGUGUGAUGAAGGCUUUCGGGUCGUAAAGCACUGUUGUAUGGGAAGAACAGCUAGAAUAGGGAAUGAUUUUAGUUUGACGGUACCAUACCAGAAAGGGACGGCUAAAUACGUGCCAGCAGCCGCGGUAAUACGUAUGUCCCGAGCGUUAUCCGGAUUUAUUGGGCGUAAAGCGAGCGCAGACGGUUGAUUAAGUCUGAUGUGAAAGCCCGGAGCUCAACUCCGGAAUGGCAUUGGAAACUGGUUAACUUGAGUGCAGUAGAGGUAAGUGGAACUCCAUGUGUAGCGGUGAA
rnacentral:rRNA from 1 species